rnacentral:rRNA from 1 species
GACGAACGCUGGCGGCGUGCUUAACACAUGCAAGUCGAACGGAAAGGCCCUGCUUUUGUGGGGUGCUCGAGUGGCGAACGGGUGAGAAACACGCGAGUAACCUCCCCUUGUCUUUGGGGUAUCUUCAGGAAACUGGGGCUAAUACCGGGUAGGAGCUCCUGCUGCAUGGUGGGGGUUGGAGAGUUACGGCUGUUGUGGAUGGUAUCGAGGCUUAUCAGCUUGUUGGUGUGGUAGGGGCUUACGAAGGCUUUGAAGGGUAGCCGGCCUGAGAGGGUGACCGGCGUCAUUGGGACUGAGGUACGGCCCAGACUCCUACGGGAGGCAGCAGGGGGAAACAUUGCGCAACGGGCGGAAGUCUGAUGCAGCAACGCCGCGUGCGGAAUAACGGCUUUCGGGUUGUAAACCGAUUUGGCCUGUGACAAAGCGUGAGUGACGGUAAUGGGUAAAGAAGCACCGGCUAACUACGUG